UUGUGCAUGUUCAAAAACAUUUUCUAUUAUAUGUAGACAGGUUUGUCAUGGUUAGUAACAUGAAUAAUAUAUAACGGUUAUCUAAUAUGACCAAAAACAUCUUUAAAAAUAAUUGAGUUUGAUGACUAUGUUUUUGUCCAUUGUCAAAAUAAGUAAGUCUAUAAAAUUGUAUUUGAAAAACAAACUAAUUAAAUUAAAUGUGUUAAGUUUCCCUUAUUAUGAUGUAACUUAAAUAGGCUUCAAAAAGUUUUCAUUUUGAAUAACUAACUCAAUAGGCUUCAAAAAGUUUUCAUUUUGAAUAAGUAACUCAAUAGGCUUCAAAGAAUUUUCAUU